UACACCUCACGGCAAAGCAAUGAAAAAGCAGUCAAAAAGCAAGAUAGGAAGUCAGAGAUCUUAAUAAUGAGUGGAAAGGGUCAAAUUUCAAAACAAAAUGGCAGGCUAGGACUGACUCACUCGCUCGCUCUCUCUGUCUCUCUCGCCAUAUAUAUGGUAUGUUUGAGGGAGAUUACAAUCCCACCAGUAAUCCACUGCUACAGAAGACUGGCAAACCCCAGGGCUUGAGUUUUGAAUUGUGGUUCAAACCCCACCCCCACUAAGAGAAAAGACUCAGUAAUAUGUUGGAUUAUCAGCUAGCAAGGUCUUCUUUCCGAGACUCCCUUAAGGCUCUUGAGGCUGACAUACAGCACGCCAAUUUUCUGGCAGCUUCAAUUCCCAGAACCAAGAAUGGUUCUUGGCUUCAGAUGAAAUUGGCCUACAAUAACUUAACGCCAAUAUUUCUUUUCUUUAUCCAGUGGAUGAAUUGCUCAUGUACAUAUCUGCUUCCCAGUUAUUUAAACCUUGUCCACAUAGUUAUAUACAAGGUGCACCCAGAAAGGCGACUAAAGAUCUCAUCAUAUGGAAGGAAAGCAACAUUAAGGGAAUUCUAUGCUGUGAUAUUACCAUCUCUUCAACAUCUGCAUAGUUAUUCAUCUGAGCUAGAUUAUGCUCAAGAGGAAGAUCAAAGGUUGCAGCCAGUUGUUAGGAAGAGACCAGAGGAGAGGAAGAAGCUUUUGAAUGUUGAUUUGGAGAGAGAGGAUGAAUGUGGGAUCUGCUUAGAGCCUUGCACCAAAAUGGUGUUGCCUAACUGCUGCCAUAUGAUGUGCAUAAGCUGCUUCCGUGACUGGAACACAAAGUCAGAAUCUUGCCCAUUUUGUCGGGUUAGUCUAAAGAGAGUGAAUUCAGGGGACUUAUGGGUUCUCCCCUGCAGAGAUGAUGUUGUUGACAUGGAAACUGUAUCAAAGGAGGACGUGUUGCACUUUUAUCUCUAUAUACACAACCUGCCAAAGAAAAAAGGCCACACAAAGCUUUAGAGGUCCACAGGAUUAAUGGAAGACAAAAUGGUGCAAGUGUGCAACCGCUGCAGUUAAUAGCUUUAUGAGGUUCACAUUUUGCUUUGAAAUGUAUAAGAUUUGAGCAGUAACAUUUUGAAUAAUUCUAUUUCUUCCUUUAUAUGAAACACAUAUAAAUACAAGAUGUUUUAUUAUUCCAACGAAUGCCUCCAUUUUCCCAUUUGGUCUUACCCUCAUUGACUGCAUUUUACAUGAUAAACUUGAUGUAUUUCAUUUCCAUGUACUUACAGCUGACACAGGAACUUGAGCAAUAGAAAGCCACCCUUUGAGUACCAACUAGUAGUUUAGGCCAGGUUCAAAUGGUUUACUAGACCUAGCCUGUGAUUUUUCUGGUUCAAAAAUAGGCUUCCCCUGUUAGAUAAAGAGGGAAAUAGCAGUACUGAGCUACAUCUGAGAUGGGAAGGAAAAGGAAUUUAACUUGAUGGAACUGGCCUUUUUUCAAAAAUUGGAUCAUAUUCGCAGUAGUGAUACACUUUCUACUGAAAGAGGUGAUUUUCUUUAACAGAAAAAGGAUGGAUUUAGUCCAGUAGUUGGUUAGAUUUUCUCAGUCAAUCACCUGCCUUGAUAUUCAUUAACCACGUGGAAUCACAUAAUAUCGUAGAACUGAUGUUAAAUGCCUCAAUGUAGGUUGUGGUCUCCAAGCACAAGUUUGCUAAAAUAAACAUCCUAUUCUAGGUAUACCCUUCCACAGAGCCAUCCUGUUUUAACCAUAAUACCCAUUUGUGUUUUCUAUUGUGCAUUUGAAUUGAGGCAUUCCCAUUUCUUUUGAUGGUGAACUUGUGUUCUUCCUCCUUAUUUUCUUUUCUUUUUAUUCAUGAUUUUGUGUUAUCCUUUGUCUGUUGGAACCUAGCCUCAAGCUCAAGCAGGGGAUUUUGGUCGAUUUCUUAGUUCUCUGUUUUCUUGCUCCCUGUUUAAUUUUUGACAAUUCUGAUUAAACUAGCUACCAGUUUAUGUCAAUCUCCGGUCUUGUUUUGUUUCCUAUUUUUUGCAGAAUGUCAGUUGCAAAAGACCAACGCAGUUGAGUGCUCAAGAUUUACCCACUUUUUCAAACCCCAAUAAUUUCCCUGUUUGGGGAAAGAAACAUCUCAAAAAAAGCUUCAAUCAGAGUAUUUAAUCAUGCCAGUUCUUAGUUCAUGUUUCUAACUUUGGAAAGGAUAAACUUCAAAGUACUGCUUCUAUCAUAGCAUGUAUUUAUAUGUAAUGUGAAUUCCUGAUAUAAAAGUACUAGCUCAACAUCAUAGUAUAUGCAUAUCUGGGUCCUCAAUAUCAAACUAUUAGCUUAACAACCAGCAGCAGAACAAAGCAAGAUGGGAUUAGUUCUACUAUCCGACAAAGUUCACAGUGACAAGGUUGCUUCUUAAUCCAACAGUGCUGAAAGGUUCAUCCCAAAUGCUGUUUCCUGCUUAACAAGUAAUCAAAUGGAGGGUGACAGAAUCCACCGUGGAGAAACGAAUUAGCAACCACCUUAUACAUGGCCUCUGUGAGGUGAACUCCAUCCCAAUUGAUGUACUGGGAAGGAUUUGGACAAGCACUUGCAGAAGAUGAGCCACAGGUGGCAAACACAUCAAAAUUAUAGGGGUCACCACCAGAUCCACAGCAAGUUUUGAAUGGCUCCUUGAAACCAUACCUGUCUCCAUUCUUCAUGAUGGUGUGGUAGGCAUUCCAGUAAUCAGCAUAAACAAUGACAGCAUGGGGAAAUUGUACCCUGAGAUCAUGAAGCUUGGCUUGGAGGAUGGUGUUGUGGCUGUAGCUCUGCUUGUUCACACUCCCAACACACCCUAUUGCAUCUCUGUCAUCAUCAGGAGCCAGUGUCAAGGCCAGUGUGAGACAUCCAGUUGGUGGCAGACCUUGGACCACAAGGUACUUCACACCUUUCUUCAGCAAUGCCUGCAAACCAGCAAAAACACUAGAACACUCGAUCAUCUGAUCCCAAACAGAAACUAGACUACAAACAUCUCAUGGCUAUGAAGCAGUUCAUGUUCAGUUAUUUCAGUACCUGUAGGAAGCUGGUAAUACUCUUGAUACCAAGCUCCUGAAUGGUGCUGCCUGGCACAGAAGAUCCAACAGUGUAUGCAUAGUCAUUGGCUCCGAUCUCUCCAACCCAGAACAAUGUAUCAUCAAAUGUGCAACCAGAGUUUUUGGUGGCCCCUCUGCAUCCUUGCUUCUCCAAGAACUCAUUGAACCAAAUGAGCUGAGUUUGGAUUGACUGAGGAGUGAUAUCAAGAGUUAGGUUGUUCUUCACGAAGAACUCAUGGGGUAUAGCGGUAGACCCUGCAACCGCAAAGUUCACACCAGUGGAUGUAUUGGCCUUCUGGCUGCGGUAAGGUGGCAAGAAGGGCAAAGACAGCGCCUGAGCAACAAAGUCGAUCACUAGCCUUCCAUCGGAGUAUCGGUUGGUGGGGUGAUGAAAGAAGGUGCUGCCAUAUGGGAGGUUUGAUACAUAGGUGAAAGCAUUUGGGCCAGUGGCUGACCUUGUGUUGCCUGUGUCAGUGUAUGAGUCUCCAAAGGCAUAGAUCCUCUUGAAGGGAGGUGAAUUAGUCCCAGUUGGAGCAGUAGAAGCAGUACAUAAGGAGGACAAUAGGAUGAGGAUGAGGAUGGUGGUGAGAGAACUCAGAGAAGAGAACAAUUUGAAAGAGGAAGCCAUUGUCUCAAGCCUUCUAGCUUCAAAACUUUUUACCCUCUGCUUCUGCUUUGCAUCUUAUAUAUUUCCUAUCUAUUCUACGUUGAGAAUGAUCUUGAUUUUAAGAAAAUACACUGUUGGCAGAUGUCUAUAAUUAAAGAGAAACCCAAGUUUUUUUUC